rnacentral:rRNA from 1 species
CAGGCCUAACACAUGCAAGUCGAGCGAGAAGCUCAUGACGGAAUCUUCGGAGGACGGAUUGAGUGGAAAGCGGCGGACGGGUGAGUAACGCGUGGGUAACCUGCCCUGUACAGAGGAAUAGCCAUUGGAAACGAUGAUUAAUGCCUCAUAAGACUACAGUAUCGCAUGAUACAGUAGCCAAAACUCCGGUGGUACAGGAUGGACCCGCGUUAGAUUAGCUAGUUGGUAAGGUAAAGGCUUACCAAGGCGACGAUCUAUAGCCGACCUGAGAGGGUGAUCGGCCACACUGGAACUGAGACACGGUCCAGACUCCUACGGGAGGCAGCAGUGGGGAAUAUUGCACAAUGGGCGAAAGCCUGAUGCAGCAACGCCGCGUGAGCGAAGAAGGUCUUCGGAUCGUAAAGCUCUGUCCUAUGGGAAGAACACAAUGACGGUACCAUAGGAGGAAGCCCCGGCUAACUACGUGCCAGCAGCCGCGGUAAUACGUAGGGGGCAAGCGUUAUCCGGAAUCACUGGGCGUAAAGGGUGCGUAGGCGGUUUCUCAAGCCAGAAGUGAAAGGCAAUGGCUCAACCAUUGUAAGCUUUUGGAACUGAGAGACUUGAGUGCAGGAGAGGAAAGUGGAAUUCCUAGUGUAGAGGUGAAAUUCGUAGAUAUUAGGAGGAACACCAGUGGCGAAGGCGACUUUCUGGACUGUAACUGACGCUGAGGCACGAAAGUGUGGGGGAGCG